ACGUGGGUCUGGCUCCCAAAUCUUCGAUCUUGUGAGAUAUAUUCUCAAGCUCGGUUUUAUGGGUGCCGCAUCCAACGA
rnacentral:pre_miRNA from 10 species